AUGCCCAUCGCGGCAGCGAUGGCGGGCCAGAAGCAGCCCGCCCUCCCCUUGGUCCUGCGGCCGCUGCUCCUCCACGGCGUCGGCGCCGGGGCCCACCUCCUGCUCGCGCUCGCCGUCGCGGCCCGGCUCCUCUUCGCCUCCGGCCGCCGCGGCAAGGACACGGCCGCCCCGGCCCCGGGGAGAGGCAGUGGCAUCCGGUUCCGGUGGGGCCAGGUCGCGGUGCGCGCCACGUGGGCGCUGGCGGCGUCCGAGCUCUUCCUCGCCGCCUACUCGGUCGUCUCGUGGUACCUCGACAACAGCGGCGGCGGCGGGGCCGAGGUCACGGACGCCGCGGCGCGCGCGGUGGCGUGGCUGCUGCUCGCGGCGUACCUGCAGCUCGAGUACCGCGGCCGCGGGGAGGAGCGGUUCCCCGCGCCGCUCAGGCUCUGGUGGGCGCUCUUCCUUCUCCUCUCUGUCCUCGCCGUCGCCGUCCACGCCGCGACCAGCCUCUGCUACGGGCUUCCCGUGCCCGCGCUUCCGUGGGCGCGCGACGCCGUUGAGGUCAUCGCGGCCGUGGCGCUACUCGUCGCCGGGUUCUCGGCCAAGAGGGCGGCGACGACGACGGGCGGCUCUGCUUCCGAGGAGCCUCUGCUCAACGGCGCGAGCGACGACGACACCGUCGAUGCUUCCCUCUUCACGAGCGCCGGCUUCCUCAGCGUCCUCACCUUCUCCUGGAUGAGCCCCCUGUUCGCAGUCGGCCACAGGAAGACCCUCGGCCUCGACGACGUCCCGGACCUCGAUCACGGCGACAGCGUGGCGGGCCUGCUCCCCUCGUUCAAGACGAACCUGGAGGCGCUCGCCGGCGACGGCUCUGGCUCUGGCCCGAAGUUCACCGCGUUCAAGCUCACCAGGGCCCUUGUGCGCACCGUGUGGUGGCACAUCGCGGUGACCGCGCUCUACGCGCUCAUCUACAACUUGGCCACCUACGUUGGCCCAUACCUCAUAGACUCCCUGGUGCAGUACCUCAACGGCGACGAGAGGUACGCCGGCAAGGGGAAGCUCCUUGUUGUCACAUUCAUCGUAGCCAAGGUGUUUGAGUGUUUGUCACAACGGCACUGGUUCUUCCGGCUACAGCAAGCCGGGAUACGUACUCGGUCCGCGCUCGUCUCCGUCGUGUACCAGAAAGGGCUCUCUCUGUCCAGCAGCUCGAGACAGAGCUGCACGAGCGGGGAGAUGAUCAACAUCAUCAGCGUGGAUGCCGACCGAGUCGGGCUCUUCUCAUGGUACAUGCACGAUCCCUGGCUGGUACCUCUCCAAGUAGGCCUGGCAUUGUUCAUCUUGUACUCCACCCUCGGGGUAGCCUCGCUUGCAGCGCUCGGUGCCACCAUCGCGGUCAUGCUUGCAAAUGUGCCUCCGAUGAAAAUGCAGGAGAAGUUCCAGCAGAAGCUGAUGGACUGCAAGGAUGUGCGGAUGAAGGUGACAUCUGAGAUCCUGCGUAACAUGAGGAUUCUCAAACUGCAGGGGUGGGAGAUGAAGUUCUUGUCCAAGAUCAAUGACCUCAGGACGACAGAGACAAGCUGGCUCAAGAAGUACCUUUACACAUGGACCGCGGCCACCUUCGUGUUCUGGGGUGCCCCGACCUUCGUCGCUGUGGCAACCUUUGGAGCUUGCAUGCUCUUAGGGAUACCAUUGGAGUCAGGGAAGGUGCUGUCUGCAUUGGCCACGUUCCGGGUGCUUCAAGAACCAAUAUACAACCUUCCUGACACAAUCUCGAUGAUGAUCCAGACCAAGGUGUCUCUUGACAGGAUAGCAUCUUUCCUAUGCCUUGAGGAGUUUCCGACGGAUGCUGUGGAGAGGCUACCAAGUGGUAGCUCCAAUGUUGCAAUUGAGGUCAGCAAUGGGUGCUUCUCCUGGGACGGCUCGCCUGAGCUGCCAACGCUGAAGGACCUGAAUUUUCAAGCUCGGCAAGGCAUGCAUGUUGCAGUCUGUGGGACGGUCGGCUCUGGGAAAUCAAGCUUGCUCUCUUGCAUUCUUGGUGAGGUGCCAAAGCUAUCAGGGGAGGUCAAGACUUGCGGGACAAUGGCGUAUGUCAGCCAGACGGCAUGGAUACAGAGUGGCAAAAUUCAGGACAACAUACUGUUCGGCAAGGAGAUGGACAGUGAGAAGUAUGACAGUGUCCUUGAGUGGUGUUCUCUGAAGAAAGAUUUGGAGAUCUUGCCAUUCGGCGACAAGACAGUCAUUGGAGAGCGAGGCAUUAAUCUUAGUGGCGGGCAGAAGCAAAGGAUUCAGAUAGCCCGAGCUUUGUAUCAGGAUGCCGACAUCUAUUUGUUCGAUGAUCCGUUCAGCGCAGUCGAUGCUCAUACAGGAUCCCACCUUUUUAAGGAAUGCUUGCUUGGGGCUUUGGCUUCAAAAACAGUGGUUUAUGUCACUCACCAGAUUGAGUUCCUGCCUGCAGCUGAUCUUAUUCUGGUAAUGAAAGGCGGGAGAAUAGCACAAGCAGGCAAAUACAACGAUAUACUUGGUUCAGGGGAGGAGCUAAUGGAACUGGUUGGUGCUCACCAGCAUGCUCUCACAGCAUUGGAUGUGAUUGAUGUUGCUAAUGGAAGCAGUGAGAAAUUAUCUUCAAGCCUAUCCAGGUCAUUGUCAUCAGCUGAAGAGAAAGAUAAACAAAAUGGCAAAGAAGACGGUGACAAGGUUCAAAGUGGGCAGCUGGUGCAGGAAGAAGAAAGGGAAAAAGGCAGGGUGGGGUUCUGGGUAUACUGGAAGUACCUCACAUUGGCUUACGGCGGAGCUCUGGUACCAUUCGUGUUGAUAACACAGCUACUUUUCCAAGUACUUCAGAUUGCUAGCAAUUACUGGAUGGCUUGGGCUUCUCCUGUAUCAGAAGACGCCGAGCCUCCGGUGAGCACGUCGACACUGAUCUACGUUUUUGUGGCAUUGGCUGUUGCAAGUUCCCUGUGCAUCCUCGUAAGGGCAUUGUUUGUUGUCACAGCUGCAUACAAAACAGCAACUCUGUUGUUCAACAAGAUGCACAUGGCCAUAUUCAGAGCUCCUAUGUCUUUCUUCGAUUCCACUCCAAGUGGGCGCAUCUUGAAUAGAGCUUCAACUGAUCAAAGUGAAGUGGAUACAUACAUUGCUAACCAGAUGGGUUAUGUUGCGUUUUCCAUCAUACAACUAGCUGGAAUUAUUGUGGUGAUGUCUCAGGUAGCAUGGCAGGUGUUCGUUGUUUUCGUUCCUGUAAUCAUUAUCUUCUUGUGCUACCAGCGCUAUUACAUUGAGACUGCCAGAGAGCUGCAAAGGCUGGUAGGGGUUUGCAAAGCUCCUAUCAUACAACAUUUUUCAGAAUCAAUUAGUGGAUCAACAACCAUCAGAAGUUUUGGCAAAGAAAAUCAGUUUGUAUUAACUAAUAGCCAUCUAAUAGAUGCCGACUCUCGACCGAAAUUCUACAAUGCUGCAGCAAUGGAGUGGCUUUGUUUCCGCUUGGAUACGCUGUCGUCCUUUACAUUUGCAUUCGCUUUGAUAUUUCUGAUCAGUCUACCAACUGGUAUCAUUGACCCAGGUAUUGCUGGUCUCGCGGUCACCUAUGGGCUUAACUUGAACAUGUUGCAAGCAUGGGUUGUCCGGAGCAUGUGCAAUUUGGAGAACAAGAUCGUAUCAGUAGAAAGAAUUCUGCAAUACAUAAGCAUUCCUGAAGAGCCUCCACUUUCAACGUCAGGAGAUAAGUUGCCCCAUAACUGGCCAUCAGAGGGAGAAAUUCAGCUUCGUAAUCUCCAUGUGAGGUAUGCCCCACAACUAGCAUUUGUUCUGAAGGGCCUUUCAGUCACUUUCCCUGGAGGCAUGAAGACCGGUAUUGUUGGAAGAACGGGCAGUGGUAAAUCAACACUCAUACAGGUCCUAUUCCGUAUUGUCGAGCCUACUGUGGGUCAGAUACUGGUAGAUGGUGUUGACAUCUGCACCAUCGGGCUGCAUGAUCUGAGAUCUAGACUUAGCAUCAUUCCGCAAGAUCCAACGAUGUUUGAGGGAACUGUGAGGAGCAACCUUGACCCUCUUAACGAAUACAACGACGAUCAGAUCUGGGAGGCCUUGGAUAACUGUCAGCUGGGAGACGAGGUCAGGAAGAAGGAGCUGAAGCUCGACUCACCAGUGAUAGAGAAUGGAGAGAACUGGAGCGUGGGGCAGCGCCAGCUUGUGUGUCUUGGCAGGGUGAUUCUGAAACGAACCAAGAUACUGGUUCUGGACGAAGCCACUGCUUCAGUGGAUACCGCGACAGACAACAUGAUUCAGAGAACGCUGCGUGAGAAUUUCUCGGAGGCGACGGUCAUCACGAUCGCGCAUCGGAUCACCUCGGUCCUUGACAGCGACAUGGUCUUGCUCCUCGACGACGGUGUGGCCGUGGAGCGUGACACGCCGGCCAAGCUGCUGGAGGACAAGUCGUCUCUGUUCUCGAAGCUUGUAGCAGAGUACACGAUGAGAGCGACGCACACGUAG
rnacentral:rRNA from 1 species